rnacentral:lncRNA from 1 species
UCUUCUUUAACGAUUAGGUCAUCUCAUAAUCUAAUUGGGUCAAACUAAAUUGAAUUUAAUUCAAUUAGAUUUUAUUUAAUCUUCUUUACUCAAUCAAAUUGAGUUAAUUAGUAAUAUAAUUAUUAAUUAAUCUUUCAUUAAUUCACUAACACUUGAUAAAUUAAUUUAUUAUAAUUUUUACAUACGAUUAACCAUUAAUUGAAUUGAUGAUUAAGCCCUUGAAUGAUGCUCAAUCAUUGAUUAGCCACA